CGCCUGAGCUUUCCACACGUUCCCCCGCCCUGGGCGAGGGCCGCCCCUCCUCGCUCUUUGUGUCCGCCGCAGCCCGCGGGAGGGUCUGCGCCUGGCCCUGCCGGGCUCCGAGUGGUGCUGGGCGCCCCGCAGGCCUCGCGUGGGCCCCGUGGGUGACUCGAGGCUUCCCCCAGCCCGGGCGUCCCGUGCCGCCUCGUCGCCUGUCCCGGGGCUCGUCCCCGUCUGCCGGCGAUUUGCAGCUGCCUUGCCGUGCUGCAGUCACAAGGCAAUGCCUCACGGAUCGUCGGCGGCUGUUCGGGUUGGGCGCCGGGUUCCUCUCGGCUGGAGAGGCUCGUCCCUGCUCACCCAAUGCAAGGAGUUCGGUACAUGCUGCAGGGGGAACAGGGAGAAGGAAGACUUGCCAGACAAGAUCCAAAACCAGUGUGACCUUCGCCUUUCUAAUAAGGUGACUCAGAAACUGCGUAGAGGACUCCUGGCCAGAGCUGCUUGGUGCAGGAGUUUGAAGAUGCAUCAAGACUGAUAGUGAGGACAGAAAAAUCUCCUGAAGAAGAGUACAGCCUGAAUUAUUGGCCAUGUCUAUCACAGAUCACAGCCCCACUACUGGAGUGGUGACUGUCAUCGUUAUCCUGAUCGCUAUUGCGGCACUGGGAGCCCUGAUCCUGGGCUGUUGGUGCUACCUGCGGCUGCAGAAGCUCAGCCAGUCUGAGGAUGAGGAAAGCAUUGUGGGUGAGGGAGAAACCAAAGAGCCCUUUCUGCUGGUGCAGUACUCUGCUAAAGGACCCUGUGUGGAGAGGAAAGCGAAGCUAACUCCGAAUGGCCCAGAAGUACACAGCUAACUUGGAGCAACACGUGCAGAUGGACUAUGCUCAUGGCAUGUGUAACCAGCAGAAGCAUCUCAGUACUGUGAAGAACCUGGUCACAUGCACACUGCUCAUCAGAAAACACCUUGAUGAGAAUUAAAUAGGCUUUGUUUGCAGCUUAUGCAGCAUGCACUGAGAAGUUGCACUUUGCACCGACUGUAUAUCCUAAUUCCUCUAUGGCAGGAGCUCACUCUCCUGGUGUAAUGUCCAUUGCUGGCAAUGGGCACAGGGAUAUACUGGUGUGAAGAGACUACUACUGUUUUUUGUCACUUGAAUGUUUAGCUGAGCAUCCUUUUGAUGGAGCUGCUGUAAUGUGAACUACUUUACAACUGUGAACUGUAAAUAGGCUGCCAGAAACUUGCUUUGUGUUCUGUAGCAUAUGGGAAUAUGAUACAACUGUAUAUAAUACACAGGGGGCCUCCUGAACCACUACCAAGGAUGGGACUCCAGACCUUCAAAACCAAACCUGCAGUUAAAGCUUGCCUCUGCUACUAGGUUGAGUGUGGACCAUUAAGUCAGAACUCCUUUGAAUGGUUUAUUGGACUGAUGCACUGUACUUCAUUUGAAAAGAAGGGAUAUAUGCUGAAGAAGGAAGCACAGGAGCUGCAAGAAAAGAAGAGUUCCUUUAGCUGCAGUUAUGUUGGUUAAGCUUUUGGCUGCUAGAACUGAGUUCUUUAUGUAGCUACUGCAAGGAAACUGCCAUUUUGAUGGGUUCCAACCUGGGAACUUAUGAUGGAUACUGAACCCUCAGGGAAAGUCCAGAAGGUUUCCAGGUGUUUGAAAUGGCAGUAGAGCAGGCUUCUCUCUUCCAUAGGUCUGUGUGCUGAAACUGUAGAAGUGGUUACUUAGCAAAACUGGCUUAAGUGCAAGGAGUAUGGAUUCUUCCCAGAACCUUGGUUUGUGUACUUAGGGUGUAUGUUACCAGCAUGUCACAAAAAGGCAUUUUAGUCUACAGCCAGCCAACUCUAGAAUUCAGUUAAUGUAUCUUGUAUAUAACUUUUGAUUGAACUGUACUACAACAGGAGAAGUUUCAGUCUUUUCUACUGUCAACAGGAGCACGGAUUAUUGCUGGUCAGUUUGUAGAAAUUUUAAGCUAGCAAUGGCCGAAUUCUUCCGGAUAACAUACAUUUCCUGCUCUGUGCUGGAGUUCAGCUAUAGGAACUGUAAGAAGGUGUUAAAUGGGAAGUUCUGGACUGCAAAGGUUUGGGGGAAGAGAAGGAACAACACUGAGCAGCCAAUGGCAGCUUACAUACUCUAAAACUUUUCAUGUAGGCACACAUGCUUAGAGGUCACUGGCCUGUUUUCUAUUACUUUAUACAUGGCCUCCUUUGCAUACUGAUAUUUUUUAACACUUAAUUGCCUAGCCUUAAUUGAGCUCCAGAGGAAGCAUUAGACUUGCUUCUUGUACCUGUACAUACAGAAUAACUUAAAGCCUAGCAAGCUUGCUUGAGAAUUUUGACUAUAUGCAAGACAAGAAUGGCCUAGGCAAAAAGUUGUCCCCUUCUUCUACACUAAAAUGUUGAAUUGUUUUGUUAGUGCUACACUUGCCUUUUUAAAAUUGAAAGCUGUAAUUUGAAGCAAAAAAAAAAUUACGUCAGUAGCAAAAAGCUCCUGCUGUUGCUUCUUGAGUACAAUAUAUGGGGUACAGCUGAUAAUGUUCUUACCCUGACACAUGCUUUUUAAGAUACUGCAUGUAUGGUCAUUCCUGUACACGUAAAUUGCUGCAUUAGAAACCUCUUAAAAGCAAAGGAAAAAGGAUUAAUUCAGUAAGACUUCCUCUAGUUUUCAGUAGAGAACAGCUCACAUGUGGUUGCCAGGCAGUAAGAAUACCAGUAUACAGAAGUGAUACAAAGUGCUGAAUUUCUAGAACAGAACAGUUGCAGCAAGAUGACUUUGUCCAUUCAAGUUUACUGAUUACACAGAUGAAGAAUCUAUUUUAAUUCAGCAAAGAGAAUGCAGUGUAAAGGGCAAACUUCAGAAAGUAUGGAAAUGUAUAAAUCAAAGAUCUGAUUCCCCUUCUAGCAGCUGUAAGAGAAAGCCAGUGAAAACUAACUGGUCCCUAUUCAGAGGUGCUGCAUACUGCUGUCCCUACAAACCAGUAUCCUUAAUUUAAAUGGAUAGAUGAUUCCAAGUUAGUGCAAUAGUAAAGUGCAGAAAGUGUUUUCCGUUCUCCUCUUCUCUUAAGAUGGGGGUAUCUAAUAAGUUGUUCAAGUAUACAAAAAUAUUCCAUUUGAUUUUUCUUUUUCUAGAUCUUGUGGGGGAAGAAGUCUUUAUUUACAAUGAAUGUCAAUAAAAUUUGCAUAAAUACCUA